ACAAGUACCGUGAGGGAAAGUUGCAAAGUACUUUGAAGAGAGAGUUCAAGAGGACGUGAAACCGGUAGGAUGGAAGCAGAUAAAGUUGACGAACGUGUGUCGUAUUCAGAACUACAAUUUGUGGUUUGUUUUUACGAUCGAUGUGGGCUGGCGUCUUUGGUUAACUUAGUGUCUGGCGGCAAUGGUGACCCUGCGGAGGGAUAAUCGGUUGUCGUGCGAUGCUUGGUAUGGCUAGAGGUUUGCUGGUCUUAUAGUCAUCGCUUUAUCUGACCCGUCUUGAAACACGGACCAAGGAGUGUAGCGCUUACGCGAGUCUUAGAGUGUGUCAAAACUUUGAGGCGUAACGAAAGUAAAUGUGAAUUUAUUCACUGACUUGGGAUGCGUUGUCUUUUUUGGAUAGCGUUGGACCAUGGUUUUAUCGUAAUCGCUUGCGAUGCGGUGAAAAUAGAGCGUAAGCGGUGCGACCCGAAAGAUGGUGAACUAUGCCUGAGCAGGAUGAAGCCGGGGGAAACUCUGGUGGAAGUCCGAAGCGGUUCUGACGUGCAAAUCGAUCGUCUGACUUGGGUAUAGGGGCGAAAGACUAAUCGAACCAUCUAGUAGCUGGUUCCUUCCGA
rnacentral:rRNA from 1 species